GACACACACAGAGUAGGUCCUACCUGAGCCUGCCCUGUGGCUGUCUGAACUCAUACAGAAUGACCAAGUUUGGAAAGACAUAUUUAAAAUAUUUCUUCCAUCUCCCCCUCCUUUUGUGAAAGAUAGCUGUAUGCAUUUGGCCCAAGGCCUGUUACAGUUUCUCUGAACGUUCAAGAACACAGACGUAGGAACUGCAUAAAAAGGAGGAGCUCUCCCACCCUCGUCGGAGUGAACUGCCUGCCGUCUGACAGCAAACCUUUUGGGAAAGAGCCAGCCUUGUCACCGUGCUUGAAGGCUUUUCAGGGCAUAGAGAGGACACUGUGCGGCUUGGCAGGCUUCUUCCGACUCCGGUCUGGUGUACGGGUUGCACUCGGUCUCUCUGGCUGUUUUGUGUGUUCCCAUCUGACAGCUCACACUUCUCCGCCGUGUGCCUUGGCCACAGGACACAGAGCACUAAGAAGAAAGACUGUAGGAUCAACUCUCAUUUUCCCAGCCCGUUGGGAAGGAGGUGAAAAAGCCAUGUUAGAAACUGAAAGGUAAGCUAGCAGGAAAUGGAAACAAUGCUGGUUUCAUUUGAGCUCCACCUUAUGAGAGUAUUAUGAUUUGGAGUUGUCAUUCUGGAAAUCAUAAUAGACCAUACAGUGUGGAAGAAAGGAGCCCGAUUUGAAUAUUCAGACCCAAACAAAAUUACCUGUCUUUCAACCUACGGCGCUUUGAUAGAUGAGUGCUCUGAAGUGCUCGAAGGCUGACACGGUUGCAGGAGGGAUCCCAAAGCUUCCGCCAGGGCCAGACCGUGCAGAGCUCACGGGCAUAAUAGUACAUUUGGAUUUGGGCCCGGAGAUGCAUCAUCUCAAAUGUUCUCUGACUCACCAUCCUCAGAGUUGAGCCGGCACUUCUGAAGCUCCCAAACCAGAACCAAGUCUUAUCAUUCACAAGCCACAUGGACAGAGGAAUACAGGGAUUGGAUGGUGAGGGGUGAUGAAAGGAACAGAAUAUAAGGCCAGAAACCAGAUGACUGUCCUACCAAUGGGAACAGAGGAAACUCAGCAUCACUCAAGGAAGAGCUUGGUUUUAGCUCAAGAACCAGUUUGGAAGGGCUCAGUGAAGAUGAAAAGCUGCGUUCCUGAUACUUCCUUCAAAGAGGGAAUGAUCUCUUGGAAUUCCAGCUUCUACAAGGUGACUACCUGGUGGUUUCCAUUUUUGCCUUCUUCUAAAAAGCAUCAAUAAAGCCUUGCCCUUUCGGCCCACUGAACACAUAAA